rnacentral:lncRNA from 1 species
GAACGUCCCCCAUUAAGAUGUUUUUGGGCUGGUCCUUCGUCACAGGUGGCAGCAUUCGAUUGGAGAAGGUAUCCGCGUAGGGCAAAGACCUCUUCUCCUCUCUCACAACUCUCUCUCUUGUCUCUCCCGUGUCUCUCUCGACGGCGAUAGAGAACGACAUCCAAAUUCAAGCUUCUCUGGUUUCGAUCACAACUCUCUCUUGUCUCUACCGUGUCUCUCUCACUCACAACUCUCUCUUGUCUUCUCUCUCACUCACAACUCUCUCUUGUCUCUCCCAUGUCU